rnacentral:misc_RNA from 1 species
CCCGAAAUUACAAGCAGAUAAAAAUCAUCAUCUCUUUUUUUUUUAUCGAGGAUAUCUCUGAGCUGAAAAUGUCUUCACGAAAAAUACAAAUAAGCUAUAAAAUUUGUAAUGAAGUGCAUUGAAUAACAGACAUCUAAUACAUACUUGAUGAUUACACUGAAGUAUUAAUAAAUAACAAAUUAAAUAUACUCAUUAAUUCAUCUAUUAAUCUUUUAAUCUAUGCUUUAUUGUAUCAUCACCAGCAACCUGUAUUUAAAAUAAGCAUACAGCAAGUGUAUAUUCAGAUAUGUACAUUUAUUUACAUAAUACCAAAACCAGUUCACAUAUUCACGUGAACAUACGCGAUUUUUCCAGUAAUUGUUGACUACAUCAAUCGGGUCAUUAAAGAGAUUGUAAAGUCAAAAUAAAACUUCUUAGAAUAUCGUAAAGAGUAGGAUCAGUUUGAAUCUCGCUUUUUUUAUGUCUGUUCAUGUGGAAAAAGUUGAAGAUUUUUAGUAGAAUGUUGUGUUUAAUAAGAGAAAUUUCAUGGGACUCUGUCGCUUGCUUCGACGAAGUCUCGUUCUCCAUCACGUGACCCUAUGAUGUUUGGUGUAGAGUGUUUACCACUUUCGGAAAGACAGAGCCUUACAAAAUGAAUGGAUCAUACCAAUAAAAAGACUCGAUCCCCAAACGAAAAAGCUUUGGGAGCCCAAAGAGUGAGACAAUCUAUGUUGAAGCCGGACCCGAAUGUCCAAACAGUUAGGUUUGGCCUUUAAGGCACAGCUUCUGCCAGAUACAUUUCUGACAAUUUUUCAACACAAUGAAAUUGCUUGAAAAAGAAAGAAAGAUUUAUCUGACAGACGAGUUUCACUUGCCAAACGACUACAGCAUAAACAGACAAACAACAUGAUACUGACACCGGAAAAUAAUGGAGAGCCAAGUGCAGUAAAGGUCAGUCAGCAGGAUGAAAAAAAGCAGCUCAUGAGAAAACUCUUGCUUUCAGGUACGGCAAAAUGUUUCCUACCUUAUUAUGCCAAACUGCCCAAUUUUGUCUCACAAAAUAAACUUUCAACAAAGAGCGUCUACUCUUUUUGCCUGUAAUGGUACUUUCAUCCUACUGAAAUUGAUAAAAAUAUGUUACAAAAGAUUAUGAUUUAUGUGUGAAAUUAAUUUUUGAGAAGUUAUUCUUUUUAAGGUCAUCCUCAAGCAACUGGUCACUUGGAAGAGGAUUUACCUUGAAGAACCUGUAAUAACAAAAUACAUUGAUAGUCAAGUAAAGCCACCUGAAGCACCUGGUCAUUCAGAAGAGGAUUAACAAAACACAGAUGAAGUACCUACCACACUAAAAUACACUGGUGUUCAAGUAAACCCAAAUGAUUACUUUAUUAAAAUUUCACAUUUAGACUAUGACAAGUCAUUCACAACAAACAGUUCAACUGUGCUUGCAUAAAGAGGUGCACACAGACCCAGACUUUAGAAAGGUGUGAUCCGACAACAAGCCGCAACAGAGGAUGGAGACUUGAUAUGGACAGUUGUUAGGCCUAACGCCUGCAAAGGAACCCCUGUUUGCAAAAAGUGUGAAAAAAGAAGCCCAUGAGAGAUUAUUUAUUAGAACUUAAUGAAAAACUGUUAGAAAAAAGGAAAAAAAAAAUUCCCGUCUGAUGAGAAGGCCAAGUCUGCACAAAGCAGCUACAACAAAACUCUUCCUGCCACUUUAAGCCAAACUUCAGACCCAGUAGACAAAACUGCUGUGGUGGCUCAGCAUCGCCAGCGUUUAAACUGGAGACCUGGAAUCAGGACUGGAAACAUGCAACUGAACCAAACAAUGCAUGGCAGUACCAGUUUGAAAUCAAGCAGAACGUCACCGACGUCCUCUGGAUUUUGAAAUCCGAAAAUGAUACCGAACUCCUCUCCAGAUGCUUUAUCGAAUCUCAGAGGUGUGAUCAAAU